GAGGUGGGGACGAGGAGUAUGAAUUCGGGCGGCCCCGUGGGGGUAAGCGUUGGAAGCCCCUGAUCUGCUGCUGUUUGCUCGCUGCCACCUCAACGCAAGGCCCCCAUGCGGAGGAAACAAGAAGCAGGUUCUCGGAGAUGCAAUGCCCGAGCUGGACGAGGAUUCCUGGCUGGGCUGGAACCCAGAUUUCCGGACUCCGCAUCCAGCUUCUUCCACGGCUCUACCCAGAGGACCAGCGUUUAAAAUUAGAUAAACCUUCUCAGUGUGAAGGUGUUCCAGAGACGGGGAACCUUUCCUCUACAGACCGCAAUUUUCCUCUUUUCUCUGGGUCCCGCAUGGGAUGUUUGUGGGUGCAGGUCCUCCUCUACUAGAAAGCUGAUUUUGGGGUCAGUAGGUGGGAUCGCAGAAACAGCCAAUUUAAGGCACAAUAAGGACAUAAAAAUCAAUUAUAAUGUUACAUUGUGCAGAUUUUUU